UCCAACUACACCGCAGCAACUCCCCAGAGGGUCCCUUUUAAAGAGGCAAAGUCCCUUCCCUACUUCACUUAAUGCCACUCACCCUCUGGAAAGAAACCACCGUGCAGACCCUGACAUCAAAUGGGACGGAAUUCUUGGGUAUUGGCUUAAUAUCAGUGUCACUAAGAUGGGACAGGAAUUUAGAUUGUCUUGCCCAAGGUCCCAAGGAGAUAAAGGGAAAGACUUGCUAACUCCUCUGCCCCAUCAAAACCCCCACUACUUUUGCUACCCAGCCAGCAGCCCAAGCUUCCUCGGGGUGGCAAGGGUAGUGUCUAUGCCUGGUCAUUAUGAGUGGAAAAAUGACCAGGCCAUGAAUCAGAACAUAAGGACUUGGGCCCCUGUCUUGAUGUUCCCUCGAGCAGUGAGGGGUUCCCUUCUCUCAGCGUUCUAGAGUUAGUGAGCGUUCUUCUGCUAACAUGUCUCUUGGUAAGCAUGGAUUCACUGUACUUCUGUGCUGUGUGGUUUUGAGCAUGUUGUGUUUGUAUCCCAGCCCCCUCUCUUCCUCUGUUACUGAGCAAGUUGGACUGUCUAAACAGCACCUGCCCAUGAGCUUGAUCCUGGACAGGACAAUGGUCAUGGCUCAGGGCAGUCAAUCUCUCACCCACUGCGGAGUUAGCACUAUGCAAUCCCUAGAAAAAUCUGCCCACGCGUCAGCUGCCAGAGCUCAGCAGUGUAUUUGAUGCAUAAGUGAUUGUUGAUCCCUGUAGCCCUGGACUCACCCCCCUGCCCGAGCACCAUAGUAUCAAGAAAUACAUCCCUUGGCUUUCAGUAACCCGAGGACUGGGAGAGGGAGUGUCUGGACAAGAAACAUUUGUAGAAUUGUUCCAGUGGUGUUGGGAUGACUUGCAGCUUCGGUAACUCACUGCCUGGCUCGCCAAGCAGACGACCAAAAGGUAGGGCCUUAAGGAAAACACAGGAGCCAUAGGUAGUGGGCACGUGUAUAGAAACAAAACCGGUACAAAGGUCUUCAAGGGGUGUACUGUUGACCCAGUGAUCUAGGCAAACUUGAAUCCACCCCGUUUAGUUCGAUAAGCCAGCUUUACUUUCAAGGCCAUGUCAAAGGGACAGCAAUGUCCCUGCUGUGUGAAGAAAUGACCAUUGAGACUGUCUGGCCAGCAUCUUCACUGCCUUCAAUAGUAAAAACAUGAACCAAGAUUAAGGAGCCUAUGGGGUGGUCCCAACCCAGCCACCGUUCUACUCUGUGACUUCCAGAAAAUUGCUGUCUUCCUCCAAGGCCCUCUUACCUUUGUAGAAUGGUAGGAUUCUUUUAGGUGUGUACUUCCAGCCUGUUGCUCACCCACAGAAAUUUUCAGUGUGAUAAACAUACUGGGAACAUCGCCCCCCCCCCACACCUCCCAGAAAACAGAUGUAUGCCGAUCAGAAUGCUAACCAGUUAAUGGUAUCACCAGUUUCCAAGGAGGUUACCAGUAUGCAGCUCUCUUAAAGGUAUCCAGUUAAAAACUACUUGUCUUUGGGCAUUUCCCUGAGUUAGCACUAACAUCUAGAUAGCCUUUAUGGGGUGCUUGUAUGUAAAGCCUGUGAAGUAGUCCCUGUGAGCACACCGGUGACUGUCCCUGUCCCUUUGGAGUUUAGCGAGCAGUCAUGGAAGAGUUUCCGUGACUCCCUCUGGCACUCCUUCAUCCAGGGCUGGGUUUAUCUUGACUGACCGUUCUCCAGCCCCAUGGUCUGGCCUUCCAUGGGCAUUGCCUCAGGCUAACACCCUCUGAGUUUUGGAGGCACUGAUCUGCAGAUUUCUGACACAUUCUUGAUGGUGUAAGGAGAGCUGGCCACCAUGGGUUCUGUUUCCUGUGGAGCAAGGGAAUGCCUACAACAGGAUGCUCUCUGGCUCUGCCUCCUGCCAUAGGUGAACCCCGUCUGUAAGGCCCAGCCUUGGCUCACACUGCACUUGUAGAUAUGCGGCCUUGGCUUCCAGUCAAUCCCAAGUCUGAAGCCAAAUGAGUGUCCUCCAUGACCCGAGCUGCCUGGUUAUGGCUGAGGAGUAGAUCAACCACACCCAAUACCAACCAACUCCUGGUGAUUUUUGUCUGCUCACUCAGAUGAGUGAGAAAGCAAGCCACCACCCCACCACCAUCCCGCUUGCUGGUUCACCCGCCAAUAAAGGUUUCUAGAAGUUUCCUCU
rnacentral:lncRNA from 1 species